AUCUGCAAGUGGUAUCUUUACGUCUCUCACUUUUAAUGUUCUUUGAUGAAAAAAAGUCCACACCUGCCACCAGCAAAAAUAUUUGCCUUUGUUUAGUAGGCAGAUAAUAUUGUCAAAUAAUUUAUUCUGGUUUUAUUAUAAUGAAAAUAGUUUACCUGGUCUAAAUGUGCCACCAUAGGUGUUAAAAUACUUUUGCUUUCUACAGUUGUGUUUUAGUUACUUAUAAUUUACUUGGAUGACUAUUCCUACAUUUUUAUCCCCCUUUUCUAAAAAGAAAAAAAGUCUUUUAAUCAGGAAAUCAUGAUUUGAAUCUUCACAUUACCGUUUUUUGGUGAAAAUCAACAUUGGGCUCAUGAUAUUUUAUUGUAUAUACUUGCUUAUUAAUAAUCAGCUUAUAACUGUUAAUAGCAUAUGUAUCUAACUGUGUAGAACAUUUUCUCUAACAUAUUUUAAUUUCAGUAUUUCUUAGGAGGUCUCACCAGACUAACAAAUUUUUAGUCAAAUAUAAGUGACUU
rnacentral:lncRNA from 1 species